UCUAUACCUGAAUUUACUCAGUAGUAUUUGACCUCUAGGUCUCUGAGAGAUGACAUAAAAAAAAAUGGCACUGGAGAGAGAAAAAUUCACUUCUGAGAUUUGUUUGAAGGGGAUGCCCCUGCAGAAGGGUAGGCUCAACUAGAGGUCACUUUCUCAAUAACCCUCGAUGUACCAGACAUGCAGUAAAGUAGAAGACUUAGUUCUGCCCUCAGUCUCCAUCUACUAUCUUCUCAGACCAUGAAGAAAAAAGCAGUAAAAUAAUACAAGAUGUCAAUAAAAAGAAAAGGCUAGAAAUCACCACAAACGGCUCUGCAAAAGCAUCUGAUGGUUAUCAUCCCCUCUGUCCAGUGGGAUCUUGGCUGCUUUCUGAGAGAAGUGACUUGGAUUUUGUACCCUGUCUCCAUAGGAGUAAUAAAUCUU